GGGAGAUGUAAGGGAAACUCCCAAAAACCCAGACCCAAUUCUAAGUCACUAUAGAGAGGAAAGAGUAAGAAAUAAACAUAUACCUCGGCACUGUGAUAUAACACACAGAUGCCUACCUGUAUACCUCUCCCUGCCUAUCCAAGUGUACAUAAAUUAACCUAAAUAGAGAUCCAUAUACCUCGGCACUGUAAUAUUGCAUACAGAUGCCUACCUGCAGACCGCUCCCUGCCUGUCCAAUAAACUAGUAU